GAUGAACGCUGGCGGCGUGCCUAAUACAUGCAAGUCGAGCGAACGGACGAGAAGCUUGCUUCUCUGAUGUUAGCGGCGGACGGGUGAGUAACACGUGGAUAACCUACCUAUAAGACUGGGAUAACUUCGGGAAACCGGAGCUAAUACCGGAUGAUAUUUUGAACCGCAUGGUUCAAAAGUGAAAGACGGUCUUGCUGUCACUUAUAGAUGGAUCCGCGCUGCAUUAGCUAGUUGGUAAGGUAACGGCUUACCAAGGCAACGAUGCAUAGCCGACCUGAGAGGGUGAUCGGCCACACUGGAACUGAGACACGGUCCAGACUCCUACGGGAGGCAGCAGUAGGGAAUCUUCCGCAAUGGGCGAAAGCCUGACGGAGCCACGCCGCGUGAGUGAUGAAGGUCUUCGGAUCGUAAAACUCUGUUAUUAGGGAAGAACAUAUGUGUAAGUAACUGUGCACAUCUUGACGGUACCUAAUCAGAAAGCCACGGCUAACUACGUG
rnacentral:rRNA from 1 species